AUCCAGCUGACGAGUCCCAAAUAAGAAGAAACGCGCGUCGUACUGGAU
rfam:Schistosoma haematobium scaffold685_8, whole genome shotgun sequence.